rnacentral:lncRNA from 1 species
ACUUACUCCUGUACAUCUAGACAUAAGGAUUAACAUCUGACUACAUCAUACUGUGAUAGUAAAAGUAGCACGAAGGCAAAAUGCCACUGACGGUGUAGGAAGCUGAUUUUGGAGGCCAGGUUGGCUGAGGAAGGACGAGUCUCGCAUCCCAUCUGGGCUCUGCAGGUUUAAAGGUGUCCAUUCUUUUCUUGGUGUCUCUUGAACUGAAGUCUGACUCGGAUCUAGUUGCCCGAACUGUAAAAGAAAAUACAGUCAUUCAUCCGGUCAUCUGUGAUUACAACUCUAUUUAAAAAUGUAGCGGAGCAGGCUUUUAUAUGAUGUUCUGCCGUAGUUAAACAAGUCUUGUCUAUUCUUUUCAGUACAGAGAUGAACACAAUAAAUGUUUUUUGGGGUUUGGAAGCAAAAUGAGAACAUUUAUAAUAUCAAAUUCUAAAACAAAAUUUCAUCAAAACAUAACUCUAAGUAUGAAAGGAAUGUCAAAAGUUCAUCCACUUACUGAUGUCCAAGUGCUUUAAUUUAAAAUUCAGGUUGCCAGGAUCUCUGUCAUAUGAAGUAACAAUGUCUGGAAUGUCUUCAUUAAGCUGAAAUAAGUGACAAAAAGUCAAUAGUUUUUUUUUUUACUUUUGUGUUUAUCGCCAUCUUGUGGUAAAAUCAAACAUUACAAAGGACAGAGUUGGGUGCUGCUCUCCAAGGUGAAAUGAGUUUGAAAAUGCUCGCCUCUCCUUCAUGUUCAAGAUAGGGAUGACAGACAUACAGAAGAAGGUAUAAUGCAUAAAGUUCUUUCUGUUCACAGAGCCGUACCUGUCUGAAGUCAUGAGGUUUGGGGUUCUUGUAAGAUCCAGAUGGGAACUUCCCCGUCUUGACAAACAUCAGCUCAGAUUCCAGAGCAUCAGGAGGCUUGUAGGAUGUGAUGAACUUUGGAGGAUUUUCCCUUUGGAUCUGACAGAGAUCUGUACAGCUUCAGAGAGAAAUCUGGUGGUUUGAUGCUCCACACGACGCUUUGACUCUCAGUCUGUGGGAGUGCGAACCAUUUGCUUCUUGCAAAAGAGAGAGACUGGCUUGCAGAGAAUUUCAUUUUUUCCUCAAAGGAGACUGAGGACAGUGGCUGCGACAAACUAUAUGGAGCCAUCCUGACAACAAAGGUACUGGCUUACCUUGAAUUUCCUGGAGAUAUGUCCUGACCUGUCACUUCUAUAGAGUUUACAUCCACAGAGUUUGAACUAGUUUGUUCUUAUGGCCCCAGGAGAAAGCUGCAGACAGUGGCACAAAGGUGGAUUAGAGACACAGCACACAAUAAGGGCUGCUUGGUAACGAGCGCCUUUAGUCUUAACAAAAAGAAUGAAGUGGGCAGAGCUCAGUAGGACAUUUAACAAAAACAGGAGCUUAGCAACAGAGCAAACAAAGGGCCCUUUUGAAAAUCCUUUUAC